ACGAUAAUGACGGUACUUUAGGAGGAAGCUCCGGCUAACUACGUGCCAGCAGCCGCGGUAAUACGUAGGGAGCGAGCGUUGUCCGGAAUUACUGGGCGUAAAGGGAGCGUAGGCGGGAUCGCAAGUCAGAUGUGAAAUACAUGGGCUCAACCCAUGGGCUGCAUUUGAAACUGCGGUUCUUGAGUGAAGUAGAGGUAAGCGGAAUUCCUGGUGUAGCGGUGAAAUGCGUAGAUAUCAGGAGGAACACCGGUGGCGAAGGCGGCUUACUGGGCUUUUACUGACGCUGAGGCUCGAAAGCGCGGGGAGCAAACAGGAUUAGAUACCCUGCUAGUCCACGCUGUAAACGAUGAUUACUAGGUGUGGGGGGACUGACCCCUUCCGUGCCGCAGUUAACACAAUAGGUAAUCCACCUGGGGAGUACGGCCGCAAGGUUGAAACUCAAAGGAAUUGACGGGGGCCCGCACAAGCAGUGGAGUAUGUGGUUUAAUUCGAAGCAACGCGAAGAACCUUACCAGGUCUUGACAUCGUAUGCAUACCAUAGAGAUAUGGGAAAUCCCUUCGGGGACAUAUAGACAGGUGGUGCAUGGUUGUCGUCAGCUCGUGUCGUGAGAUGUUGGGUUAAGUCCCGCAACGAGCGCAACCCUUACCUUUAGUUGCUACGCAAGAGCACUCUAAAGGGACUGCCGUUGACAAAACGGAGGAAGGUGGGGAUGACGUCAAAUCAUCAUGCCCCUUAUGACCUGGGCUACACACGU
rnacentral:rRNA from 1 species